CCUACGGGAGGCAGCAGUAAGGAAUAUUGGUCAAUGGGCGCAAGCCUGAACCAGCCAUGCCGCGUGCAGGAUGACGGCCCUCUGGGUUGUAAACUGCUUUUAUACGGGAAGAACAGCAUCUACGUGUAGGUGUUUGACGGUACUGUAAGAAUAAGGACCGGCUAACUUCGUGCCAGCAGCCGCGGUAAUACGAAGGGUCCAAGCGUUAUCCGGUAUUUAUUGGGUUUAAAGGGUGCGUAGGCGGUCUUUUUAAGUCAGUGGUGAAAGCCUGAUGCUCAACAUCAGAACUGCCAUUGAUACUGAAGAGCUUGAGUACAGUUGAGGUUGGCGGAAUGUGUCAUGUAGCGGUGAAAUGCUUAGAUAUGACACAGAACACCGAUUGCGAAGGCAGCUAGCUAAGCUGUUACUGACGCUGAUGCACGAAAGCGUGGGGAGCAAACAGGAUUAGAUACCCUGGUAGUCCACGCCCUAAACGUUGAUAACUCGUUGUUAGCGAUAUACUGUUAGCGACCAAGCGAAAGCAUUAAGUUAUCCACCUGGGAAGUACGGUCGCAGAUUGAACUUCAAAUGAAUUGAGG
rnacentral:rRNA from 1 species